CGGUUCACUUUGAAAGUGACAGGUUUGUAUUAUGGAUAAUGUUAUAUGGUUAAUUUGUAGUAGUGGGGAUCUUUUGGUCGUGUGAUGCGGGAAAUAAAUUCUCUUCGGCCGUGUGAUGCGGGAAGACGAUGAUUUGAUAAUGAUGACUCUUUCGGCCGUGUGAUGCGGGAAAGAAAUUCUCUUCGGCCGUGUGAUGCGGGAAGAUGAUGAUUCAGUGGUGACGACUCUUUCGGUCGUGUGAUGCGGGAAAGAAGUUCUAUUUUGUCGUGUGAUACGGAAAGAGGAUGUCGUGUGAUUCGUAAUGAAUUGGUUUAUGAACAAUGAGGUGGUGCUGCUAUUGAGGUGAUGAAAUAUGUUUAUGAUUAAACUAUUGACUGUUUAAAAAAAAAUAUNNUNNUNUNUUUNUGUGNUAUGAAAUUUCUUGUUGCUCAC
rnacentral:lncRNA from 1 species